ensembl:lncRNA
ACACCCUUUCUUCCCCUGCCCCCCCACCCUCCAAACCCCAGUACCUUUUGCUUCUCUUUUUCCAGGUCCUUGAGUAGGGCCGUCUGGAAAUUAUCCACCAGCACCGCGAUCACUAGGCUACGAGACACUGGAGGAUGCUGUGCUAUUGUUUCUGCACCAAUACUCUCUGAAUUUUUGCACUCUGGACCAACGUCCCCAUUGCCCCACCCUUGUUAUUUAAGGCUACUGCUCCAGAGUUCCCCUCCCAAGACAAGUCUGGAGAGAACGUCCAGCCUUCACAUCUGUGUUGGACCCAAACCCACCUCCCAGUCCCUCCCAGGGUUCAGGCCUGUUCUCUACUACCUUUUGCCCGGCUGUCCAAAUAGAUGAGGGACCAGUCAUCCAGGGUGAGCAAGAUACAGAGGCAGGUGAACAUCAGGACAAGGAUGGCCCCGAUGGAUGGCAGCGACCUGGCCAGAGUCCCCGUCACCUCCUGGAGGCUGUUGAGGAAGCUAAAAGCAGGAGGAGAAGCAGACAAGAUGGUCAGAGGAGCAGACGACCUUCCUAAGGGGAAAGACUGCAGAGGCCUGGCUGGACACCCCCAGGCCUGGGGCAUCAUCAGGAGGCCUGGGCCCUCACCCCUCCUGAACCUCUGUCUGGGACCUUUAGCUCCAAAGAGCCUCAGAACCAGAAAGGGUUUUAGGGCAGAGAACCAGUGCGGGAGCAGGAAGAUCCCUUGGAGCACAGACAGAGAACAGAAGACCCGAGAGGGGCAGGAAACACAGUGGGAAAGCUGGAAGGAGCCUUAGAACAGGACCCGAUGACUUAGAAUCUACAGGAACAUAGAUUCAAGUCGGAAGCGAGGAAGCUUCUAGCCCAGCCCCUUCGUUUUACAGAUGGAGAAACCGAGGAACGUGGAGGUUCGUUCAGGAAUAAGAUCGAGGAUUUGAAUCUGGAAGGCAUGCUUAGGGUCUCUAGUUCGCCUCCCUCACUAAGGCCCAGAGGGGAAGUGAUGUGCCCAAGGUAAGGAGUGGGUGCCAGAGGGGGGAUGUGCAGCCAGGUGUUCUGACUCCAAGCCUCCACUGUCUCCAGCUGCUGCUGGCCCAGCUCUUGGCCUGGAAGGAGCGGAGGGCCCACCUGGCCUCACCUGGCCUCACCUGAGCCUCCGAAGCACCAUUAUGACCCUCAGGGCUCGAAGGCUUUUGAAGAUCUUCAGGAUUCGGAAGACAGUUUUGCUGUGGGCCAUUCUAUUGGCGCUGGAGAAGUAGAACUGUUUGAGCAUGAAGUCCAUCGCAGCCAUGACCAGGAUAAAGAAGUCUGGGGGAGGCGGAGGCCACAGCACUUCCUCAAGAGCCUGCCCGCCAAGCGCCAGCUGCCUCUUCUGUCCUUUGAACCUCACAGCCCCCUGGGAGGGAGCUAUUGCAGGCAUCAUUGUGCCCACUCUACAGAUGAGGAAACUGAGGUUUCGUAGGGAAAUGACUUGCCCAGGGUUGCAUAGCUAGUCAGUGCCAGAGGCAGGAUUUGAGCCCAGGUCUCCCUGCCUCUGGGAUUCAGUGCUCCGACCACUGAGCUGUGGUGUUUCUAUCAUUAAAGCAAGCUCCUGGGCAAGACCCAAGAGCCUCUUUUCCCCAUAUCCAAAAAGAACUCACCCUCUAUUCUCCCCCUUUCCCGACCUGGAAGACCGCUCGCUGGAGAAGAUGGCAGUUCAUCACUACCACCACCCUGUGCUCCAUCCCCUUCUUGUUUAGUGGUACCAUGUUCCUGACCUCAGCCCUCCCUCCCCUGCCCAGCCAACCGGGCCCCAGCGCCACCCACCUAGGCUGUUCCAAGAAUCAAAGUAACCAAGUCCCAUGAUCAGGAUCUUUAGCACGGAUUCCAUGAAGUAGAUGGAGAGGAAGACGGAGUCCAAAGCCGCGAAGUACCAUUCUGCGGGGAGGUCAGAUCCUCGGUUUGACUGCAGGCCCGGCCUCCUCCUGAAGGCCCUCCCCGGCGGACCUGCACACUUCCUCCCUCUGCCCUUACCCCACUACCUCCUUGCUUUUCUCAGGUAGGAUCUGAGUCUUUCCACAAUAAAUAGUCCAUGAGAGCUGCUUUCCUCCCUUGG